rnacentral:rRNA from 1 species
UGGGGAAUUUUGGACAAUGGGCGAAAGCCUGAUCCAGCAAUGCCGCGUGUGUGAAGAAGGCCUUCGGGUUGUAAAGCACUUUUGUCCGGAAAGAAAUCCUUGGCUCUAAUACAGUCGGGGGAUGACGGUACCGGAAGAAUAAGCACCGGCUAACUACGUGCCAGCAGCCGCGGUAAUACGUAGGGUGCAAGCGUUAAUCGGAAUUACUGGGCGUAAAGCGUGCGCAGGCGGUUUGCUAAGACCGAUGUGAAAUCCCCGGGCUCAACCUGGGAACUGCAUUGGUGACUGGCAGGCUAGAGUAUGGCAGAGGGGGGUAGAAUUCCACGUGUAGCAGUGAAAUGCGUAGAGAUGUGGAGGAAUACCGAUGGCGAAGGCAGCCCCCUGGGCCAAUACUGACGCUCAUGCACGAAAGCGUGGGGAGCAAACAGGAUUAGAUACCCUGGUAGUCCACGCCCUAAAACGAUGUCAACUAGUUGUUGGGGAUUCAUUUCCUUAGUAACGUAGCUAACGCGUGAAGUUGACCGCCUGGGGAGUACGGUCGCAAGAUUAAAACUUAAAUGAAUUGACGGGGUCAUA